CCUACGGGAGGCAGCAGUGAGGAAUAUUGGUCAAUGGUCGAAAGUCUGAACCAGCCAAGUAGCGUGAAGGAUGACUGCCCUAUGGGUUGUAAACUUCUUUUAUAUGGGAAUAAAACAGGGUAUGCAUACCCUCUUGUAUGUACCAUAUGAAUAAGGAUCGGCUAACUCCGUGCCAGCAGCCGCGGUAAUACGGAGGGUCCGAGCGUUAUCCGGAUUUAUUGGGUUUAAAGGGAGCGUAGGUGGAUUGUUAAGUGAGUUGUGAAAGUGUGCGGCUCAACCGUAAAAUUGCAGUUGGAACUGGCAGGCUUGAGUACAGUAGAGGUGGGCGGAAUUCGUGGUGUAGCGGUGAAAUGCUUAGAUAUCACGAAGAACUCCGAUUGCGAAGGCAGCUCACUGGACUGCAACUGACACUGAUGCUCGAAAGUGUGGGUAUCAAACAGGAUUAGAUACCCCAGUAGUC
rnacentral:rRNA from 1 species